CGAGUCCGCCAGGCAGCCGCGGCAGGGGUUUCCCUGUCGAGGAAAGUCCGAGCUCCGCAGAGCAGGGUGCCGGGUAACACCCGGUCGGGGCGACCCGAAGGAGAGUGCCACAGAAAAGACACAGCCGGGCACCGCGGCCCGGCGAAGGUGAAAUGGUGAGGUAAGAGCCCACCGGCAGCCGGGAGACCGGUUGGCCUGGAAAACCCCACCUGGAGCAAGACCGAAUAGGAGGACCACAGGCUGGCUCGGUCGGUCCUCGGGUAUGGUCGCUCGAGCCGCCGGGCAACCGACGGCCCAGACGGAUGGCUGCCACCCCGCGAACGUGUCGGCGUAGCCGGCAAAGUCGGGGGACAGAACUCGGCUUAUCGGCGGACUCAAUUA
rnacentral:RNase_P_RNA from 1 species